GCUGGCGGCAUGCUUAACACAUGCAAGUCGCACGAAGGUUUCGGCCUUAGUGGCGGACGGGUGAGUAACGCGUAGGAAUCUAUCCAUGGGUGGGGGAUAACUCUGGGAAACUGGAGCUAAUACCGCAUGAUACCUGAGGGUCAAAGGCGCAAGUCGCCUGUGGAGGAGCCUGCGUUCGAUUAGCUUGUUGGUGGGGUAAUGGCCUACCAAGGCGAUGAUCGAUAGCUGGUCUGAGAGGAUGAUCAGCCACACUGGGACUGAGACACGGCCCAGACUCCUACGGGAGGCAGCAGUGGGGAAUAUUGGACAAUGGGGGCAACCCUGAUCCAGCAAUGCCGCGUGUGUGAAGAAGGUUUUCGGAUUGUAAAGCACUUUCGGCGGGGACGAUGAUGACGGUACCCGCAGAAGAAGCCCCGGCUAACUUCGUG
rnacentral:rRNA from 1 species